UACAGAGGGUGCGAGCGUUGUCCGGAAUCACUGGGCGUAAAGGCGCGUAGGCGGCCCGGUAAGGUUGCGGUGAAAGCCCGGGGCUCAACCCCGGGUCGGCCGUGGCAACUGCUGGGCUGGAGCACAGUAGAGGCGGGUGGAAUUCCGGGUGUAGCGGUGGAAUGCGUAGAGAUCCGGAAGAACACCAGUGGCGAAGGCGGCCCGCUGGGCAGUGGCUGACGCUGAGGCGCGACAGCGUGGGGAGCAAACGAGG
rnacentral:rRNA from 1 species